rnacentral:rRNA from 1 species
GAUGAACGCUAGCUACAGGCUUAACACAUGCAAGUCGAGGGGCAGCAUGGUCUUAGCUUGCUAAGGCCGAUGGCGACCGGCGCACGGGUGAGUAACACGUAUCCAACCUGCCGUCUACUCUUGGACAGCCUUCUGAAAGGAAGAUUAAUACAAGAUGGCAUCAUGAGUCCGCAUGUUCACAUGAUUAAAGGUAUUCCGGUAGACGAUGGGGAUGCGUUCCAUUAGAUAGUAGGCGGGUAACGGCCCACCUAGUCUUCGAUGGAUAGGGGUUCUGAGAGGAAGGUCCCCCACAUUGGAACUGAGACACGGUCCAAACUCCUACGGGAGGCAGCAGUGAGGAAUAUUGGUCAAAUGGACGAGAGUCUGAACCAGCCAAGUAGCGUGCAGGAUGACGGCCCUAUGGGUUGUAAACUGCUUUUAUAAGGGAAUAAAGUGUGGGACGUGUCCCGUUUGUAUGUACCUUAUGAAUAAGGAUCGGCUAACU